rnacentral:rRNA from 1 species
AACGAACGCUGGCGGCAUGCCUAACACAUGCAAGUCGAACGAGACCUUCGGGUCUAGUGGCGCACGGGUGCGUAACGCGUGGGAACCUGCCCUUAGGUUCGGAAUAACUCCCCGAAAGGGGUGCUAAUACCGGAUAAUGUCUUCGGACCAAAGAUUUAUCGCCUUUGGAUGGGCCCGCGUUGGAUUAGCUAGUUGGUAGGGUAAAAGCCUACCAAGGCGACGAUCCAUAGCUGGUCUGAGAGGAUGAUCAGCCACACUGGGACUGAGACACGGCCCAGACUCCUACGGGAGGCAGCAGUGGGGAGUAUUGGACGAUGGGCGAAAGCCUGAUCAAGCAAUGCCGCGUGAGUGAUGAAGGCCUUAGGGUUGUAAAGCUCUUUUACCCGGGAUGAUAAUGACAGUACCGGGAGAAUAAGCUCCGGCUAACUCCGUG